rfam:Clostridium acetireducens DSM 10703 CLAC_contig000008, whole genome shotgun sequence.
GCGUCGGUAUCCUUGAACUUUUUUAGGGAACUGAACUUAAAUAUAUUUUAAAAUUUUAAUAUAUUCGACUUAUAUCCAUAAGUGGAAUGAGAACGGAGG